CAUGAUUUCUAUAUAGAGUUGGGUAUGCAGAAAUUAAAACAUUCCUAUAGGUAGGGUUUCUAAAUGUGAUUGAAUAUGUAGAAUUAAAUAGUCAUAUAGGCAUGGUUUCUAUCCUUUGCAUGCAUAAUUACCCACCAUUUUCACUAGCCAUCCCCAAAUAUUCAUUACAACUUAUUACAAAUCAGAAUGAAUAAAAUUACAUCAGAAAAAUACGUCGAAAAGUACAAGUAGAGGAAGCCUGAUUCUUGACUUCCUCUCUGAGUUAUGAGAUAGACAAACUCAAAGACCAUUGAUUUAAAGCCUUUCUCCGAUUUGAGUAUGUCAGAGUUCACUAAGAGCCUCAAUGGGACUCCGGGCAGUGCUCACACCCAAAUUGUAUCACUGGAAUGAGACAAGUGCAGUGUGGAAGGGCCAGGCCUCAAGUUUUCAAGUUUAUAGGGAGCUCAAUGGGUCCCAAGGCAAGGCUCACAAGAGGGGGGCAGAACAUAAGUCUAGGAGAGAGUGCAAGUGAAGAAACAGAAUUCUGAGGGGAUAAAGGAGAGGGAAACAACCAUAAACAAGUUGAUAGUUUCAUACAAAAGGGGUUCAGGGGGGUUGGGGAGUUGCAAAGAGCCUGUGCUUAGGCAAGGAUAAGCUUUGGGCAUGCACAACAAUAGAGGAUGCCGGCAUGCCUAUAGGCCUACUAGAACACACAAUAGCAGAGAAACAUAGAGGUUAGGAUCCCAGGGAUCAAGCUUGAGUCAUGGGUAGUAAUAUUCAGUACUGUCAUGCCUCAAACAAACCAUAGCAUCAAACACAUUGGGGUGGGGGUUUGAGAUUCAUAAUAGAUUCAGAACAGCCAGAAGGAAAUUAUAGCAUGCUAAAAUUAGUACUGAACUAAACACAUUGUUGUGAUGCUGGAAUUUUAAUCAGAACAUACCAGUUCAAAGAAGCAAAAAUACAGCAAAAGCAGGUAGCAAGACUUUGAAAAUAACUCUAGCUUUCAGCCAGCUGAAUGGGUCAUAGUAGUUGUAAAGCAGGAGAGAAUGUAAGAGCUUUUAGAACUGAAUGUGUUCGUAUCUCUGUGUUAAUGAAAGAACAUGGUAUUUAUAGUUUAAAAGCAGGUGAAAAUAAGGCAAGAAUCAUAGUUUAGCAAUAAUUAUGGAACUAUGUACUAAUUAGAAUCAAAUCAAUAUAAGGACUUCCUUUAAUUAAGGAGUUAAAAUCAAACGGUAAUAGGCAGAAAACAUUUAAGGAAAGAAAUCAAGUAAGCAUCAUGUGCAGAGUAGACAAUUAUGAGUAAGUGCAUAGAGGUUCAAUUAAGUAAACAACUAUUGAAGAGUCAAUAGAAAAUACUCGGUUAACCAAAUAAGGUAAGAAACACAAUAGAUUUGCAAAAUAUGGAGACAAUCAGCUCACAGUAAAUCAGGGAGUCAAGGAUUUGAAAUUACUUAUUUAAGGAGAAUCACACGGGUUCCGAAGAAUAAGCAAAUAAACCAAGUUACAAAUAGGAGAAUCGAGAGUCUAAGGAAAGUUUUCAAAUCAAAACAAGGAGCUCAGAAUCAAUCAAAGGGAGGACCAUGAGUCCUAUUUUAGCAUAUAAAUAGAAUGCACAAAACAUUAGGCAUGCGAGGUUAAACUAUGGUAAAGAGAAGCAACAUGCAAUAAUAACUACAAAGUCAGUAGACAAUGAAACAUGGUAGUCACAUAGGUCAACUCAGUGAUAGAGAAAAGAGGGUAUCAGAAGCAUGCAAAGGGUCAAGUAAAAAGACCUUUCUGAAAAAUAUAGUCGAGUUUCAACAAUAGCAGGAAAUCAAAAUCACAUAAAGAAACAGAAGUUGAAACAAAAGAUUUUAAAUCCAGUUGAGCUACAGAUGAAGCAACUUCAGAAGCUCGAAUAGGUCCAAAGAAAUUAAGGUUUUGAAACCAAUUAAAAUAUGGCGAACAAGUAAAUCACAUAGCAAAUAGUCUCAGGACUCGAAUGAACCCAAAGUUUUAGGGUUUUCAACACCAGUCGAGUUUAGAGAUAAAAAAUCGAGUAAAUCAGACAAACACUAACAAAAAUAGGUUCAGAAAUCCCAAAAGGGUUAAGGCCCUUAACAUGCACACUCAAGUAAAGCAACGACAUAAGGAAACACAGUAGAACAUGUUAAAAAGUCAGAGAAAGCUUCGAAAUAACUUAACAGAAACCCAAAUCGGAAAAGAUAAGGGUUUUUGAAGGUAGAGUUUUGAAAGAAACCUUGAGAAAACGUUAAAAAGUUCGAAGCAAACACAGAUCUAAAAGGAACCAGAAGAACCUUAAAGGUUAGGGUUUCAGAAGAACCCCAGAUGGUGAGAAAGGCUUGAAAAAUCAUCGAUCUACGCAGGAGAAUUCAAGACUCAGGCUCGAAUAGUCAUGGAUGGCCGAAGCAAAGUCAAAGACGACCGGAGACAGCCAUAGAACUAAAAUCCACCAAGGUUGGGACCAAACUUUUCCAAGAUCUAGCCUUAAAACCAUGACAAUCGGGCAUGUAGAAGCCAAAGGAGGUAGAUACAGGUCUCCAAUGGCUUUGGAAGCCAUUGAUUUGGGCGGUUUUAGGGUGGAAGCUGAGGGAGGCGGCUAGGGUUUGAGAGGGGUUUGAGAGAGAAUUGGGAUAAGGGGGAAUUCAAAGGCAGUUGCAGGUGAAAAUGAUUAGGGUUCGGGGGUAGUUGGGAAUAAAAAAGGAAAGGGCUGUUGUGAGCCGUUGAUCUAGGCGAUCAAUGGUUGGGAUUAAAAGGAAAUCCGGGCGGGUCGGUUUGAAUGGAGUUUGGGUCAGGGUAAUUGGGUCUCAGAUUGGGUUCAAAUUGGAGGUUCAAAUAAGGCUAAAAUUGAAAUAAAAUGAGGCUAACAUUUAAAUAGCCACUUUUCCCUAUUUGAUUUAUAAAAAUAAUAAAAUUAUUUUUGUAAAUAAACUAAAGGUACUAAAAUGAUUAAUAGUACAUAAUUAUCAAAUUAAAAAUAUUGGACCUGAUUUUUAUAGACAUAAACGUAAUUAAAUCUAAAGGAGGCUAAUAUUGCAAUUAUAUGCAAUUUAGCUUUUAAAAUAUGGAAUAAAUUAAUAAAAAUAUGAAAAAAUUAUGUUAGCUAUAUUUUAGUAUAAGUAUAAGAAUCCAAUAAAUGAAUUACCAAAAUGAUAAUUUUGGGAAUAAUUAUUGGGUUUCUCUUGAUAAAAUAGGGCAAUAAAUUGAUUUUAAAAUCUUUAAAAAUUAAGGAAAAAUAUUAAAACAUUUGGACAUACUUAUAUAUGCAUACAUGCGCUAUUUUGAAAGUAUUUUGCAUAUAUUAAAAUAUAUAGGGAAAAUUGGGUAUCAACAAAGGGGUCCUACGUUUUUUAGCAUGUAGGAUAAUUUCCAUGCAAUACUUGGUAACUUCCCCUAAAUUGGGGUGUUACACAUAGCAUUAGCGCACAUGUCAUCAUCUUCUUUACUAUCCCAUUACAAUCUUUCAGUUGUUACCUAAGCGUUCUAGUAGCUUCUAAUGCGUACCUUAUGCGUGCACUACCCGUUCCUUACCUAUAGUCCUGGAGGUGAUUAGGACUUCUAUUUUGGAUGGAUCUAGACUCACCUACAUUGCUUAAAAAUGUGACUAAGCGACAAACAAAAUUCAGAUAGGACUAUCAUGUAAGGAGAAAAUAAGGGGCUCAUGUGAACCUCCACAAAUAUCCAACCAAUGCACGCAAUUCAAACAAACAAAGUUUUAUAGUUUAGAAUCCUAUAGACAAGAUAUCUAGAUGAGCAUGAACAGAAUAUACAACAGCUUUAUUAAAGCGAACAAUAGUACCUAUCAGUUUGCUUACUGAUUUUUAUUAAUAUUCUGAAUUUGGGCGUGCUUCAAGCAGCACGAAAUCACAGUUUUUGUAGACCCAGAAUUCUUAAUUACCCUACAAGCUUGCCUAAGCGAGGACCAGAGUAGAAUCCCAUAGGCAUGGUAUCUAAAACUGUUAAUUAACGACUAUAGUUUAUAAACCAGUUACUGAUUUUAACAAAUAGGAUUUUAUCUCUUUAGAUCCUAUAGACAUACUUUCUAAUUUAUAGAAUCAGUUGGCUCCUAUAAACAUGAUUUUUAGGUGUUAGGACUGAUUUAUUUAUUUCCUAUAGACAUGAUAUCUAAAUUGCAUAAACUGAUUUUAAAUUCCCUAUAGGCAUGAUAUCUAAAUUGCAGAAACUAAUUUUAUAUAUCUCUUAUAGGCACUGUAUCUAAUUGAUUUUUAGUUCCUAUAGGCAGGAUAUAUAUUAAUCACGUGUGGGCAGAAUUCACAUUGCCAGGAAAAUUGUUAUUCAAACCGACAAUAUCCUAUAGACAUGGUUACUAAUGCAUGUAAAAUGUGCAUGGAUCCUAUGGACAGGAUUUCUAAGGCAAAGAAUCUAUGAACAGGAUUUCUAGCAUACGAGUGAAGUACAGAACAAAGCAAUCAGAAAGUCCUAUAGACAUGAUCUCUAAACAAGUAGUAAUACUUACAUAAUCACCAAUAAACCUAUAGGUAGGAUUUCUACCCGAGUUCCAAGCAAAGAUAUAGAAUAAACCCCCCAACUUUUACUAAUAACCCCAUAUCUAUUUUUAAAAGAAUUAUUAUAUUACUACAGACCAAUAUGAAUGAAUUACACAAAGCUAUUCAUUACAUUAUAGGGAGCCUUAGCAGGCCCAACAUCAACCUGGAAACCAGGCCUUCAAGAAAGUAGGUCUGAUGUAUACAGGUAGUCCAUCCAUAAUACACAAAUGGGCUUCUAAUGUGUAAAAGUUCCCAAGGGCCUCAGGGACCCCGGGAAAUGUUCACACUAGAACUUUCAAAGAAAACAGUUUUAUAACAGGUUGGAAGACCAGCCCCAAAAUGUCAGAGUUUAGAGGAAUCUCAUGGACCCUAGGCAGUGCUCACACUGGGGUGGUAGGACCCUAGAUAACUAAGAGUGGAAGUUUAAAAAUAGUGUAUAAGGGGGCAGGGGAUAGUUUUAGAAAAGCAGUUUGAUUUUUGGGGGAAAACAGGUUUAAAGACUGCAAAUAGAACAAAAACUUCAUUUAGAAGAUUGGUUUGAGAAUAGAUACCACUAAUUAAACAGUCACAACAAGAGCAGGGACACUUGAAUUAUAGACAGAACUGCCUACACAUAUUUGCAGUACCCAAACUAAAUCAAACAAAGUCUCACAUUAUUGAAGAUUACUUAGCUUACUAAUUAUUAUUAGGUGGAACCGUAUAGACAUGUAUUAAGCAGAGAAACAUGCUGAAAUUACUAUGAACAGAACAAGAUAACAAGAACAGAACAUGAACUCUAUGCCCAGUAGAAGCAUGUUGGAAUUUGAAACACUUAACCACAUAGAUAUAUAUAAUAAAGAGAUAACAAAGGCUAAAACAUACUAGUGGAUAGUAAACUAGAAACAUAUAGUGAACAUAUCGAGGUUCAAAUAAGCUAGUCAUACAAGUCACUUGGAAUAAGAAUUACAGCAUAGUAGUUGAGAAAGAGAUGAUCAGGAAAUGGAUAUUAAGAUAGAAGCAUGUUGAUGUCUAUAGUAAACUGAUCACACAACAUAUAUAAUAGAACAUGAUAACAGAAAUUGAGACAUACCAACUAAGGAAAUAGCAAACAGGAAGGUGAAGACAAGUGGAAUCCAAAAGUCUAGCCUUGUCUUUCAGCCGGCUAGACAGUGCAACAAAUCAGAUUGAAGGAAAGAACUCAAGUUAUGUGAGUGUAAAUGUGUAAGUGUAGGUUUGUAGGUGUAAGCUUGUGUGUCUCAACGUGUAUUUGAAAAUCAGAACAAUGAUGGAUUUUAUAGCAUAUAGUAGAAUAAAACCAAAUAAGAUAGGAGAAUCAAUAGCACGCAAAUAAGGUAUGACAAUCAAUUAACAAUCAGUUAACGUUGUCAUAGAUCAAUUAACAUGCAUAAAUCAAGCUAGAAUCAGUUAAUGAAAUCAAUCAGUAGUCAAAUAAGGUAAGGAAUAAUUCCAUAAUCAAUUAGAAAUCGACUUUAAUAACCAAAGCAUAAAAUCAGGCCAGUAAGGUUAAGUCAACGAGAAGUAGCAUAACUUAUUAAUCAGACAUUGGUCCAAAUAAGGUAAGAACAAGUAAAUUGAACAAAAUAAGAAAGUAUUAGUAUCGUACAGAAAAGGAAAGAUUAAAAUCUCAGUAAUGGGUUUCAAAACCCUAAUUUUGGGUAAACCAUAAAGUCAGCAGAGAAACAACGGCAAAAUAAUCACACUGUGCAUAAUGAACAUAGACAAGAGGUUUAUUUGAAAAGCACAAGGAAUCGAACUAGAGAAAAUCUGAAAUCCUAAUUCUAGGAAGAAUAAAUUAUUUUAGAAUAACAUAGAUACACAUAGAUACACGAAGACAUUAAAGGAAAAAUACUCAAAAUUAAGGAACCUUGACAUAUCUGAAAAGAUCUGGGCCCUAAUUUUAGGGUAAGUAAAAUAAGGCGAAAACCUGUUAACGAAAUCAUGAAAAGAAACACAAGUAGUCAUGCAAAAACAUAGAUAUGCUUUUUAGCAAAAAUAAGUACUGAAUCUUAACAGAUUUCAAAGGAUCUGAACCCUAGCUUUUAGGGUAAAAUAAGGAAUAAACAAAAAUCUCAGAGAUUCAAACCAUAGGGAGACGGAGAAAAAACAUAGAUGGAAAGAGAUAAAGAUUCGAACCAGAUUUGAUUCAAGAGAGAUCCACUUGCCAUGUUAGGCAACUGAUUAUGUAACACCAUAAUCGAUUAGCCAGUAGAGAAAGGGAGCCAGAUAAGGUAAGAAAUUACCAGAUGAUUCCAUAUUUGGUUGGAAUCAAAGGGGAUUUGGUGGGAAUUUGGGGUGAUGACGCUUAGGGUUUGAGAGUGAAAGAGAAGAGGUUGAGAGAGUUCAAGGGCGGUAGAGACGGGAUGAUGAAUUAGGGUUAGGGGCGUUGGAUAUAUUAAAAA
rnacentral:lncRNA from 1 species